rnacentral:rRNA from 1 species
GAUGAACGCUAGCGGCAGGCCUAACACAUGCAAGUCGAGGGGUAGUUACUUUCGGGUAAUGAGACCGGCGCACGGGUGCGUAACGCGUAUGCAAUCUACCUUUUACAGGGGAAUAGCCCAGAGAAAUUUGGAUUAAUGCCCCAUAGUAUGUAUGAAUCGCAUGGUUUAUACAUUAAAGUUCCAACGGUAAAAGAUGAGCAUGCGUCCCAUUAGUUAGUUGGUAAGGUAACGGCUUACCAAGACGAUGAUGGGUAGGGGUUCUGAGAGGGAGAUCCCCCACACUGGUACUGAGACACGGACCAGACUCCUACGGGAGGCAGCAGUGAGGAAUAUUGGACAAUGGGCGCAAGCCUGAUCCAGCCAUGCCGCGUGCAGGAAGAAGCAUCUAUGGUGUGUAAACUGCUUUUUGUACGGGAAGAAACACUCCUACGUUGUAGGAGCUUGACGGUACCGUAAGNGUAAGGAUCGGCUAACUCCGU